GCUCAUGGCGGCCACACGUGCGUAGGGCUGCGGGGCACCGAGUGGGCGCACCACGAGUGACGUGUCCGCCCGCAGAGCCUGUGGGAAGAGGGAAGAGUUACACAGAGGCCUUUACUGCUGGUGCCACUUGUAGGCCUUUGGACAGCGGUCUCUUGUUUGGACUACACCUGAAGCUCCUCUUGGGAAGUCAUCAAUCUCUAUGAAAUGAAGCAGGAUGGAAAUGAAGCAACUGGACAUCACAGGAGUUGCAGUUCACGUGCCCAGUUCAGCUCUCCUUGCCUUGGAUGGGACUAUUUGUAGCGUGUGAAGCUACACAGUUUGGCCCUAAGGGUAUGUUUUUAAGUCCUUGGCACUAUUUUACACCAAGCCAAUGGCAGGCAAUGUCCUCAAAGAAACGUUUAAAAAAUACUAAUAACAAAUAAACUAAAAUGUAAUUUACUGCACACAAAGCAGUAAGCAUCAGACUGAUCCACUAAGCAGAUGGAUACGGAAUGCAAAGUGUCUAAAAUUAGAAUGGUUGAUGUUUACUCAGGCAGGUCUAAAUUUGUAAAAAUCUUUCCCACCCUACAAAGGCCUCGUUCUGCACCAUGUAAAUAUAAGAUGCUUCUAAUCAAGUCACUGGAAAUGCAAAGAUUGUGAUCAAUGGGCACAAGGAAAGCCUACCCUCUCCCAUUUCUGUUCGGCAGAAACCUCAAAGUUGUGCAGCUAAUGAGUGUAACUGAAGUACACGCCUGUGAUUCCUGCUGAAGUAGGGCUGUUCUGUGGCAGCAGGAUUUGGCCUUUAGCCUUCAUGGUGUACCAGGCACAACUGUGUGGGUGACUGGGUGGGAAAUUCUAUCCACCAGCACAUUAAAAAGCCUUGCAGCCUUGCUGUAUUCCCACUGACUUCAUGAGAGAGUUUGCCAAGUGUGCGUUCAGCACCACUGGAGGUAAGCUUUUCAAAGAUCUUCUCCUAACACCAUCUCCCUCCAUUUUAUGGCUGUUUUAACAAGACAUUCAAAGCACAGGCUUAGCACAUGUACUCUGAAGCUACAGGGAGUGUAAACUAGAAGCAAAUAUCUGAUUAGUUUUUCUCUUUUCUAUUUUUUUCCAUAGUAAUACAAUAACAAAAAAGAACUUGCUACUUUCAUCCACCUUCCUGCAGUUGUGCAGCAUUAACCAAAUGACAUUCAGCAAUGACAAAUGAAUCUUAAUCUCAUUGGAGAUUUUAAAAGGAUUAGCAACAGACCAAAUGGGGUUUAAAAGAACAUAAGGUGGACAAAAAGACUCCUUCAGAGUUUUUCCAACAUUUAUGCUGAAGACCAUAUUACGUGAUAGACCGUGUAAAGCUUUCUGAUCCAGCUGACUGAAGGCAUUACGCUCAAGGGACAAACAUGUUUGUAUUAGAAUAAAAAUAAUAAUAAUAUAAAAAUCAAGAGAAAUAUAACAGUAAAAACAAUUUAAAGCAGCGUUGAAGUUGUGGACAUGGCAGACAAAACUACUAUUCCAAUUUACGGCUGAGCUCCUCUGUUUUUCCACAUUUCCUCCUGCCUAGUUUCCAAGUGCCCUACGUUUUCAGUGGAACAGUUUGCUCAGGAGCAUUAGUGCCAAGCAGGGGAUUUUCAGAAGCAUCCAGCAGACUUCAGAGACUGACAUCUUUGAAUGAACUACAGAUGUCUGUCUUUUUGCAGUGAAAUGUUUGGUUCCAGGAACAUUUUUCUUAGCUAAAGUCUUGGUCUACUAACAAACAUCUGCCAUCUGACUUCUAUCCUCUCUGACUCUGUGGCAUUUUGGAAGUUGAAUGUUCAGAAAAGGAUACGGAAAGGGAAGGAAAGUUUCACCUGUGCCGUUAGUUGUAGAUGACCUCAGGCACGUCUGUGAAGCCACAAGCCAGUGAUCAAGCUGCAUUUGUGGGCUGUUGGACAAUAGCUUUUUCUUGGCAGUUACUGUUGGGUUGUGUGAUCUUUCAUUUGUUUCUCAGUAGAAAGUGUAGAGAAACCUUCCCAUAAAACCCCAACAAUGGCUGGCAGCAAACAAAACUACUCUGCUGAGAUUAAAAGGAAAAGAAACACCACAAAACCCAACAACACUCAUAACAAUUGUAACAAAUGCAAAGCAAUCAUAACCAUUCCUGGUUUUUAUAUUACACAAAUUAAGAGUCUUCCCAGCAGCUGUAUAUAAAAAAAAUAAUAAUAAAUAAACCAAGAUUCACUUGAUGGUUCUGAACCAUUCCAGAAGCCGUCUUAUUUCUAGCACAUCCGUUCCUCUGGCUUUCAUCUUUCUCUUCUAUCUUUAACAUCAAAGACAUCUCAGACAAGUGGGAGUGGAUGUGAGGAGGGAUGAAGGAAGCAAAGAGUUGUCACAGGGAUGGUGCUAGUUCUUCUGUCUUUUCAGGAUGGUUGCACCAGGAUUUUCCCACUCAGUUGUUGUUUUCAAUGUUAAACAGAAAGACACAAAACCAGUCCUUCAGAGCUGGAUGACGGAGGAAGGAUCUCUUCCUCAUUUAAGGAUCUAAUUACAGAUAUGUAUUUGGUUUGGGAAGUAUGAGAUGCAAGAAGACUUCAAAGGUGACACAGUAUGAAAGAGAUGGAAAACAGACCUAAUCCACAGACUAGAAAUAAAGUCAAUGAAAAGACUUCCAGCAAUUUUAAUGGGGCAAAUUUCAUCACGCUUUCAUGUUUGGUUUGUGAAUGAGGUUAUAGUAGAAUCUUAACUUGUAUUUUCCCUAGAACAUUCAUAUAUCCUUCAUUUAACAUGUAAAUUACUUUCUGAACCUUGUAUCAAAUAUUUAUAAAUGCUAAACAAGGUAAAAUGUGAAACCCUUUUGGGAAAGUGGAGUGGAGGGAGGUUUAGCUGCACUAAUGGAUAUUGCAUUAAUGCUUAGCAUCAAGGAAGCCUGACUGCCAUUAACAAGAAAUCUCAUUACAAAUAUGAUUUCACGCCUCAUAACAUAUCCUGUGGAUCUAUUUACUGUCCAUCUCUCUCUCUCUCCUGAACAUACAAACACAUGAAGAUAACUAUGGAUGAAAUGUCCAAAAUAUAUUUCAUAUCCUUAACCCUUUUUUUCCCCACACAGCAAUAACUGAAUUAGGAUCACAGCAGAAAAUUCAGAGCUUGGACAAUAUAGAACAAAUUUGUUUACAGUACCACAGGAAGUGUGGGAUAGAUGAGUGAACAGAGGGCAGAUUGAGAACUGGCUGAUUGGAAUUGCUCAGAGGGUUAUGGUCAGUGGUGCAGAGUCUAGCUGCAGGUCUGCAGCUAGCAGCGUUCCCCUAGAGCUGAUACAGAGUACAUUCUUGUUCAACAUCUUCAACAGUGACCUGGAUGAAGGGAUACAGCGCAGCCUCAGCAAGUUUGAUUCUGAAACAAAGCUGGGAGGACUGGCUGACACACCAGAAGUCUGUGCUACCAUUCAGCAAGAGUUGGACAGGAUGGAGAGUUUGUCAGAGAGGAACCUGAUGAGGUUCAACAAGAGCAAGUGUAGAGUCCUACACCUGGGGAUGAAUAAUCGCAUACAUCAGUACAGGUGAGGGGCUGACCUGCUGGAAAGGAGCUCCGUGGUGAAGGACGUGGGUGUCCUGGUGGGCAACAGAUUUGCCAUGAGCCAGCAGUGUGCCCUUGUGGCCUAGAAGGUCAAUGGGUGUCCUGGGGUGCAUUGCAAGAGUGUGGCCAGCAGGUCAAGGGAGGUGAUCAUCCCCUCUGCUCUGCCCUACAAAGGCCACAUCUGGAGUGCUGUGUCCAGGCCUGGGCUCCCCAGUUCACAAAAGAGAUCUUCUAGAGAGCCCAGCAAAGGGCCACCAAGAUGGUGAGGAGCUCGAAGCCUUGGGACUGUUCAGCUUGGAUAGGAGAAGGCUGAGAGGGGAUAUUGUCAAUGCUUAUAAAUAUCUAAUGGAGGGGAGUCAAAUAGAUGGCCAGGCUCUUUUCACCAGUGCCCAGUGACAGAACAAGGGGCAAUGGGCAAAAACUGGAAUAUAGGAAGUUCCAUACAAACAUGAGGAAGAACCUUCAGACUUUGAGGGUGACAAAGCACUGGAACAUGCUGCCCAGAGAGUCUGUGGAGUCUCCUUCUCUGAAAAUACUCAAAACCCACCUGGAUGUUUUCUUGUGUAAUCUACUGUCUGUAAAGAACCAGCUUUAGCAGGGGGUUAGACUUCCAACCCCUAUGAUUCUGUCAUUCUGCAUGACUCAAUGGAUAGCCAUGAAUCCACAUCUCAAAGAAGACUGAGUGCUUUACCAUGUCGCCAAGGGGCAUAUCAGUCUCUGGUGCAAUAAUCAAAAGCCAGAGAUAGUUUCCAAAGCUACUGAACCAACUGUUCCAAGCUUGUUUAUUGGUAGUUUACCCAGAUUUGAUCGAGUCAAGCAAGGUGCCUGAUCGGGUGAACACUGACAGUAGGGAAGUCGCUUGCACUGUGAGGAGGCCUUGGGGGCUUCCCACCACUCCUACCUCCUGCCACCUCAGCCCACAGACGUGCUGUGUGCUCUCCAAAAGCCACAAAGCACAGUGAACCAGACUUCUGAAAGUCUCAUUUGAAAGCAUCUCAUGCAGUACACCACAAGGCAGUCAAUUUGUCCACUGCUGGGAAGGGGAAAGGGCAAGGCGGUUUGGCUUGAACCUGCAGCUUGAACAAGUCCAGAUGUUUUGAAUCUCAGUAAUCCAUCCCUGCCAAAAUAUCAGAGGUGUGAAGGCUGUGACCUUAAUUAAUUAAAAUGACCUCCUAAUGGACUGGCUUUUCUAAUGUGUCUGUCUUUUUAUUUUCUUUUCUUUUUUCGUCUGAGCAUCUCCAUUUUCGAAUGUAGCUUAUUUUAAACCAUGAAUUAUUUCUGAUUGGGUAUUUCAGGGAGUUUUUCUCCCUUUCUUUGUUUGCUACAGAAAGGCAGUAAGAAAGAAGAUUGCUUCUCGCUGCGCCAGGCAAAGCUGGGUAAUGGAAGUUUUAAUGAAAACACAGCAGCAGAGAUGAUGGGAAGUGGGAAGACCAAAGUUAACCACACGCAAAAGAGUGCAGGCAAAUUCGCUCCUGCAGCUGCAGCAGCGGAGAUAUUUAUAAGGCCAAAAAAAGAAACAACCACCAAGCGGUACCAAUUGCUAGAGCUCCACAGCCUCAUCUGAGCAGUGUGACUGAGUAAACCCUGAGCACUGAAAAGACCAGAGCCAAAGCAGUUGGCUGAGAAUACUCGGUGAGGGAUUGGAGAUGGGGCUGCUUUCCCCUCUCCUCCUGUCCUCUGCUUUCCUCUCCCCUUUGACUGCAUGUAAAUUCAAAGCUGGAAACCAAAUGAAGCAGGACAGAGAGAACUCCAUGUCUUGAAAACUCCAGGCAAAGACCAGGGGUUAGGCAUUUAAAUUCUUGGACUCCAUCCUUUUCCCUUACUGAGACCUUUUCAUUAGCAUGCCAUCUAACCCUGACAGAAACCUGUGCUUGUUGUGCUUGCACACCUACUCACACAGCACCAUCACCUGCACAGGACGAGAGGUAAAAAAAAUAAACCUACGAGCCCAAAGAAGUAAGAAAAAUGCCUCCCAAAGGAAAACAAACACGCAAACUGCUGUUCCAGCACAUCAUGUACAAUUGGGUGGACAGAUGAAGACAACUAAGCAGCACAGCACACAAAGCUGCAAGAUGUUCAUAGAAAUUACCCUGUCGAGUUAAUGCAACCACUCCUGCAAGUUUUUGCCAUGUUUCCCAGCUGUUUCAAUGACAAGCAACCCCCGCAAAGCACAGAAACCAAUCAAGGCUACACCAACCUGAGGAAAAUAAGAGCUGCCACAUUUAGAACCCUCUGUAUGAAACAGCACAAGAUAAUCCAGACCAUCCACAGCUGAUCCACACAAGAAGUCUCAAACCAACCUAAAAGCAUUACAGUUUAAAGGCAACAACAAAAAUCCAGUAUCUCCCCCUGCAAAGCUUACUCCUCCAGCUUUUAAGCUCACUGGAGACAGCUGACAAAUGCUUCUUAUCUUCAGCACAUUUCCAGGUUUUCCUUCAGCUUCGGGCACUGUAUUGGUAGUGCUUUCAGCAGUGGUCUCACAGCUCAUCAGAUCUCAGCCCAAGACUCAGCUUCACUACUUUUGGCCCUUGGAGAGCAGAUAGAAGCUGUAGGUCAGGUGUGAGUCUAUUGAAACGUGGGAAGUGGCUCAGAGCUAGCAGCCCAUUUGAGCCCACUGAAGACAACAAAACUUGCCUCAUAAUAGGAUGGUAACAAAUUAGCAGCAUUUGUUUUGUUAUAAGUGUGGAAGACGUGACUGGAAGUGCUAGGAGUUAGAGAUACAGAAGUGCUUAUAGGCAAGCAUCUAAAAUUAGCAAUGUUCUCAUCGAUGGGGUUUCAGAUAUUAUUUGACUGCUGUUUCAAAGCGAACUUCCUGAAAGGUGAUUUAUUAAAUAUUAGGACAAAUCCUAAGCAGACUCUUUAAUGCUUAUGUAUCUCAACAGACCUACAUCUCUGGGCUAAGGGAUGAAAGCAACGUCAGGCACUUCAUUUCUGCAAAGCGCUCGCUUCCUCACAUGAAAGACGCUUUGUCAAACAAACAAACUUCAAGUCUUUGACUUCAGGUAACUGCCAUUCAUCAAAAGAAGAAAUCAUCCACUGACUUCAGAGCAGCCCUAGUGAAUGUGGGCUUCAGGAUGUCACCUUUCUGGAACAGUUUAUAAAAGCAGAACCAGCUCCUGAGGGGCAGCAAAUACCCACAGCCGACUUUUAGGAGCUUUGCAGGACCUCUGCUGCUUCUGGGAUUUAGCCAUGGACAACGGGAUUAGGAACAGCCUUUUUGUUAAGAUGGCUGAGUCUUGCCUCGAGGAUGUAGAUGUGUGAACUCCAACACCUCUAUUUCUUUUGAACGUUAAAAAGAUAAAAGCCCUUAAAUAGCUUCCCGCACACCUGAGUCCCCGUGGGCUUAGAGGCAAUCUGCAAUAGCAGAACCCUCCUCUGACAUGAGGCAGGUCUGGGAUGAAGAAGAGGUGCCCAUUCUUUCUUCUCCCCAUACCAACUUACUGCAGCACAAAACAAGGACUUUUUUUCCUUUCAGUUUUCACAAGGCAGCCCAGCGUGUCCCCAAAAGCCUCCUGCAGACCACGCUGCACCACAUACACCACUGGGUAUGGAGCUGGUGGCCAGUGGCUAUUCAGUAUAGGAGGCUCAGUGUCAAAAGCAGCACAUGGACGUUCAGCAAGCAGCUCUCACUGUGCCAAUAGCAGACUGGCUACUAAGCUCCCACACCUCUUUAGGAGUGUUUCCUCUGUCUUUCAACAGGCGUUUGCACAAAUCUACUCAGAAACUGAGUCCAAGCAGGCAAAGAUUUAGCUGGGAAAAAGUCUUUGUCGUUACAAAGCUGGCCUUGCUCCAGGAUGGAGAGCAUCUGGCCGCCAGCUGUGCUAAGAGGACAGUGGGCUGAAGGCACAGAGCAGGGAAAAAAUGAGAAAGGAGCAGACAGUGCUGAAAUCUGUCCUGAAAAGAAUACCAGCCUUCCUCUCUGAUGUCCAAAACCUUUGCCCUCACACAUUCCCCAUCCUCUUCCCAGCUCUGAAGCUGACUCUUGGGAAAUAGCCCAUUCAGGAAUAUGCAGCUAACAUCUCCAAGCUUGGGAAGGGAUCCAGCAGGGCUCCAGAGUAACAGACUGGGAAGUCUGGAAACUGGCAGCAUGUGAGGCAAAGUGAGGAAGUUCUGGAAGCGAAAGGAGGACCCUGUGGAGAGGCAGGAGAGAUGUGCAGGCAGGAUGCCUGCAAGGCUUGAAGAAUACAGCAUGGGGCUUGUAUAAAAAAGGCACAUGGAAAGAACCUUCGCCACCUGUAGGCUGGGAAAUUAUGAUUAAAAAUGGAAAAAAAUCUCAAGUUUUUCUAAGGAUUUUCUAUUUUUUUCCCCCAUACUUUACCUAGAGAGGCUGGAGAAGAUUCGAGGCCACAUUUUCCCCUCCAAAUUUGGAAAUUAUAGCAACUUGUGCAAAGACUAAAGAAGCAGAAGGCUAUUUAUUUUCUAAAGUGGCAGUACCAUCUCUCUAAGAAUUCCUAAUAAAAUGCUCUGCUGGAAAGAGCCGUAUCUGAUAGGGACGGUGGUCAUAGGCACCCGCUGCAACUCACACUGCUUGUUAAAUUACACUUACAAUAGAGCCCUUUCCCCAGCCCCAGAUUAAUGGGAUGGAGAAUCCAUGCAUGAAGCCACAUAGCACAAAGCAGGGAGAUGAUGAGGCCAGGAGACGAGAUCAGAAUUGAAAUUGAUUUUGAUGAACUGGGGAAAUCGCCUCAA